rnacentral:rRNA from 1 species
GCGCAGCAGGCGAGAAUUUUUCACAAUGGGGGAAACCCUGAUGGAGCGACGCCGCGUGGAGGAUGAAGGCCUUUUGGUCGUAAACUCCUGUCAAACGGGAACAAGAAAGUGAUAGUACCGUUAGAGGAAGAGACGGCUAACUCUGUGCCAGCAGCCGCGGUAAUACAGAGGUCUCAAGCGUUGUUCGGAUUCAUUGGGCGUAAAGGGUGCGUAGGUGGCAUGGUAAGUUGAAGGUGAAAUCUCGGAGCUUAACUCCGAAACUGCCUUCAAUACUGCUGUGCUUGAGGACUGUAGAGGAGAAUGGAAUUCAUGGUGUAGCGAGUGAAAUGCGUAGAUAUCAUGAGGAAGACCAAGUGGCGAAGGCGAUUCUCUGGGCAGUUCCUGACACUGAGGCACGAAGGCUA